AUCCCAUGGUGCGGACAUCUCUUUUGCAAAUCCUUGUAUCUCUCUCAUGCUUCAUACAAGCUCUCAUCAUCUCUAGGUCAAAAAGAAUUUAGCUCAUUUCUUAGCUU